UGGGGAAUAUUGGACAGUGGGGGCAACCCUGAUCCAGCCAUGCCGCGUGUGUGAAGAAGGCCUUUUGGUUGUAAAGCACUUUAAGCAGGGAGGAGAGGCUAAUGGUUAAUACCCAUUAGAUUAGACGUUACCUGCAGAAUAAGCACCGGCUAACUCUGUGCCAGCAGCCGCGGUAAUACAGAGGGUGCGAGCGUUAAUCGGAAUUACUGGGCGUAAAGCGAGUGUAGGUGGCUCAUUAAGUCACAUGUGAAAUCCCCGGGCUUAACCUGGGAACUGCAUGUGAUACUGGUGGUGCUAGAAUAUGUGAGAGGGAAGUAGAAUUCCAGGUGUAGCGGUGAAAUGCGUAGAGAUCUGGAGGAAUACCGAUGGCGAAGGCAGCUUCCUGGCAUAAUAUUGACACUGAGAUUCGAAAGCGUGGGUAGCAAAACAGGAUUAGAUACCCUGGUAGUCCACGCCGUAAACGAUGUCUACUAGCCGUUGGGGUCCUUGAGACUUUAGUGGCGCAGUUAACGCGAUAAGUAGACCGCCUGGGGGAGUACGGCC
rnacentral:rRNA from 1 species